GGGACCUCCUCCUUUCAGGGAAUUAAAGCAAAGUCCUCGAGGUUCAUUCAUUCAGGAAGCCUCUGACCAGCCUUUACCAUGCGCUGAGUGAGAAGCUGAGGAUAAGGAAAGAGCAAGACCCCCAAGAAACCCUGAUGUCUGGCUGAAAGCCGAAGCAUGACGCAACUUUGCUAUAUUUCUCUCCAACAAGGAUUUGUAUAUUUUCGCUUUCUCCUCAAGUAACACCUGGACCUGCUCCUUUCCCUUCAAACGCUGAGGGCUCAGUCUCCAAGUUCCUUUAUGAAACAGGGUGUACCAUCAGAGACGCAGGUAUUUAUUGAAACCUGCUUUGUGCUGGGCAAUGUGUCAGAUGUUGGGGAUAAA
rnacentral:lncRNA from 1 species